GAAAGAAAGAAAGGAAGGACGAAAAGAAAAGAGAGGAAAGAAAGAAAGAAAAGUGAAAAAAGAAAUACACAUUUUGUGAGUUUUGAUUACCACAGUUAAUGGAGGAGUUGGGGUAGGGGGACCCCGUUGGCUUUGGCAAAAUUCCAGCAAGCGUAUCUAACUAAAUCUUUCAGGGCCACGGGCUUUAAUGAACCAAAGGCGGAAGGUUGAUUGAGCUUUGACCCCCCAAGUGCAACCUGCAAUAACCUGCCUGGCUCCAUCCUAAGCCACGCGGAAACAUAGUGCCUGCCAGAGGUUAAAGUGCACCAGGACCUGUCUCAUGUUUUUUGUGUGGAAAUAGCUGUGUUGUUUUCAGUUGAUGGUGGAAGCUCAAAGCAGUUUUUCUGCAGGGACACAUUUUCACCCUAAGCCUUAUCAGACGUGGACACUCAACUCCUGGUCAACGCUCUACUACAAAAAAAUAUUUAGUUUCUAUUUAUCUGAGAUUGGGUCUCACCUAGGAUGGCUUACUGGCCUAGAACUCUCAGUGUGGACAGGUUGGCCUUGGGCUCAUAGGGAUCUGCCUUCCCCUGCCUCUGGCUGCAAUGAAAGCCA
rnacentral:lncRNA from 1 species